rnacentral:tRNA from 1 species
GGGGUUGUGGCUCAGUGGUAGAGUGCUUGCCUAGCACACAUGAGGCACUGGGUUUGAUCCACAGCACCACA